CAGUAGCCGCGGUAAUACGUAGGUCCCGAGCGUUGUCCGGAUUUAUUGGGCGUAAAGCGAGCGCAGGCGGUUAGAUAAGUCUGAAGUGAAAGGCUGUGGCUUAACCAUAGUACGCUUUGGAAACUGUUUAACUUGAAUGCAGAAGGGGAGAGUGGAAUUCCAUGUGUAGCGGUGAAAUGCGUAGAGAUGUGGAGGAACACCAGUGGCGAAGGCGACUCUCUGGUCUGUAACUGACGCUGAGGAGCGAAAGCGUGGGGAGCGAACAGGAUUAGAUACCCGAGUAGUCCCUGUCUCUUAUACC
rnacentral:rRNA from 1 species